UACGGGGGGGGUAAGCGUUGUUCGGAAUUACUGGGCGUAAAGGGCUCGUAGGCGGCCAACUAAGUCAGACGUGAAAUCCCUCAGCUUAACUGGGGAACUGCGUCUGAUACUGGAUGGCUUGGAUUCGGGAGAGGAAUGCGGAAUUCCAGGUGUAGCGGUGAAAUGUGUAGAUAUCUGGAGGAACACCGGUGGCGAAGGCGGCAUUCUGGACCGAUAUUGACGCUGAGGAGCGAAAGCCAGGGGAGCAAACGGG
rnacentral:rRNA from 1 species